rnacentral:rRNA from 1 species
AUGGAUCUCUUCCGGAAGACGCCGGCAGAAACCGAGACGAGGCGCGAGAUUUCAGAUCGUGUUAAGCCGAGGCCGGAGAGCCCCGUGACGACGGGCGCCAGGGUUCUCUCCACGCUGGCGCAGAGGAACUGCGGGUCCUUGGCGACGAGGGCGGCGACAUCGCCGGUGAAGAGGCCGAUCCCGGCGAGGAAGGCGAGGACGGCGUCGGGCUUGGCGGUGGACCUGAGGUGGGAGAGUUUUCCGGAGGCCUUGAGGGCUUGGGGUCGGGUGAGGCCGCAGGUGGAGACGAGGUAG